GGCCAAUUGGUGCAUAGUGGUUUGAGUGUUGGACUGCGACUCUGGAGACCAGGGUUCGAUUCCCAGCUUGGCCA